AUACGGAGGGUGCAAGCGUUAAUCGGAAUUACUGGGCGUAAAGCGUACGUAGGCGGUCCGUUAAGUUAGAUGUGAAAGCCCCGGGCUUAACCUGGGAACUGCAUUUAAAACUGGCGAACUAGAGUUGAGUAGAGGGGAGUGGAAUUUCAGGUGUAGCGGUGAAAUGCGUAGAGAUCUGAAGGAACACCAGUGGCGAAGGCGACUCCCUGGACUCGAACUGACGCUGAGGUACGAAAGCGUGGGUAGCAAACGGGAUUAGAUACCCCUGUAGUCC
rnacentral:rRNA from 1 species